rnacentral:rRNA from 1 species
UACGGGGGGGGCAAGCGUUGUUCGGAAUUACUGGGCGUAAAGGGCGCGUAGGCGGUUCGCUAAGUUGAAUGUGAAAACUCUGGGCUUAACCCAGAGCCUGCAUUCAAUACUGGCGGGCUAGAGUUCUGGAGGGGAUAGCGGAAUUCCUGGUGUAGCGGUGAAAUGCGUAGAUAUCAGGAGGAACACCAACGGCGAAGGCAGCUUGCUGGGACGGUACUGACGCUAAGGCGCGAAAGCGUGGGGAGCAAACAGG